rnacentral:lncRNA from 1 species
CCACUUAAUACUCAAUGCUUAAUUUUAAAUUAGUUAUUUCUUAUUGUUAUUUAUUUAUUUAUUUAUUUAAUGUCAUGUAUAUUGUAUUUUCACAAAUUAAUUAUUUAUUAUAUGUUUGAAUUGUUAUUACUUUAUCAUUAUUUUAUUACUUAUUAUUUAUUUUUAUCAAGUAAUUUUAUCAAGUAAUUUUUUUUGUAUAAUCAAGCUCUUUAUUUAUUAAGGAUUUCGGAAUCUUGAAAUCGAGGCCCUCCCAUCGUACUGGUGGAGCCUUGAUUCGGAUUCCGAGCCUAGGGAACAUAAACUCGGGAUUGCGACUUCUCGCAUCUCGAUCGAUUAUCCC